rnacentral:lncRNA from 1 species
UAAUGGACACAACAACUAGGCACAAGACCAAGAAGGCAAUAGGACUUGUACACUAUAAACCAAUUAGACCUAACAGAAUAGAACACUCCACCCAACAACAGAAGAAUGUACAUUUAUUUCAAGUGCUCACAGAACAUUCUCCAGGACAGACUACAUGCUAGCGAGGUCAUAAAAUAAACUUGAACAAAUUUUCAAAGACUGAAAUAAUACAAAGUAUGUUCUCAAGCCACAAUGGAAUGAAAUAAGAAACUGAUAAGAAAGAAAUUGGAAAGCUAACUAAUAUGUGAAAAUUAAACAAUACACUACUAAAUAAUCGAGUCAAAGAAGAAAUCAACAGGGAAAUUGGAAAACAGUUUGAGAAGAAUGGAAAGGAAGACACAAUAUACCAAAACUUAUCAGAUAAAGUAAAGCAAUACCUAGAGAGAAAUUGUGAUGACUAUGGAAAACUUUAAUAACCACUUGAUCAAACUCAAAACUCACAAGAUUGAAAUUCAUUAAAGAAGGAAAACAAAGCCACACAGGACCUAGAUCUUCAGCAUACAAGGAAACAAAAAACACUGCAACUUUCAAAUUACCUCUAAGUAGAGAUAAAAAGAAAAAAUUCCAACAGAUUUCCUGUAGCCUUCCAGCUGCUAUAAGCUUAUAAGUAUGAAAAGUAAAUAAAAGGAGUCUUAUUAAAAGACUACACACAAAAAGUAGAGAGUAACAGAGGAACUAGAGGAAGUACAGCCAAAAUUACUCCCAGAAAACAAAAGUGCAAUAAUAAUGCCAAAAUAUUAUACAGGACUUGGUAGUCCAUAGCCCUGGCUAUGGGAAGAAGUUUGAAAAUGGAAGGAACCAGAAAUGGCUGCCUUGGAGAAGCAAGAUGUGUACACGUGUACACACGUAAAAGUAUGUGGACUCCUUGCAGACAAGCCAGUAAAGAGAAAGAAUAAAAUAAUAAAGAGAAAUUAAAGACCCUAUAGAAAUGAAAGAGAAACAAGACAUGCCAAUUCUUCCUUCACUAAAAACACCACCAUUUAUAAACAAAUAGCAUAGCAGAGGGUAGAAGUGUCAGGAAAGAACACUCUCAAAAUAGGAGCCCUUUCCAAGUAACAAAUAGGACUAGAAAAAGGCAUAUCAGAUCUGUAAACAAAACAACUACAAAAGUCAGAAAACGCCAAUAAAAACAUUACUAUUGGUGAAAAGUCUCCACCCUAAAACCAGCCACGAUCCUGAAGAAAGCUGUAACACAACAUGAAUUAAAUAUCAUCAAUCAAGCAACAGGGAUAUGAAAAAAUACCUUGAAUCAGAAAUACAAACAAACAAAAACCAACAACAAGAAAUGAAACAAGAGCUGACUAACCUGAGGAAAGAAACAGAACCAAAAAAAGGCACGUAAAAAGUAAAGGCUAUGUUAUAAACUACCCAAAGGAGAAUACAAAAUAGAUUCAAAUUAAAACUUAAUACAGGGCAUUGAAAAAAAAAACCAGAAAAAUAAUCAAGAGAAUGAAAAUUAAGAAGUCAGAGAAAAAGGGUCAGAGAAAAAGUGACUGAAAUGGAAAACUAGCAAAGAAAGUCAAACAUACGUAUAAUCAAUGUCCCUGAGGAUGAAAACUGAAACAAUGAAAAAAAAAACCCUAAUAUUUAACACUACUAUCCAAAAAAAAACUUCACAGAAAUAAAAGGAGACCUGAAUCUACAAAUAGAAAGGGUCCACUGGGUGCUGAAGCAAAAUAACCCAGGACUAUCAACUCUAAGUUGCAAAAGUAUUAGACUUUAGCAAUAAAGAAAAAAAAUCCUCAAGGCCUCCAGGCAAAAAGAGAAAAUUAGCCUACUAAGAAAAUUA